AGGGGUAGGGUUAGUUUAGGGGUAUGGUUAGGGUAGGGUUAGGGGUAGGGUUAGGUUAGAGGUAGGCUUGGGGGUAGAGGUAGGGUAGGGUUAGAGGUAGGGUUAGGAAUAGGGCUACUCCAACCACUAAGCCUAACCCUACCCCAACCACUAACCCUACCCGAACCCUUUACCCUACUCCUAAACCUAACCGUACCUCAACCCCUAACCCUACCCCAACCACUAACCAUACCAAAACCCUUAACACUAACUCUACCCCUAAACCUAACCCUAACACAACCCCUAACCCUACCUCUACCCCAACCACUAACCCUACCCUAACCUAACCCCUAACCCCAACCCUCUCCUGUUUUGCCACUUUUCAGAA